rnacentral:piRNA from 1 species
GAACUCGUGGUAACUGUAUCAGGU